rnacentral:rRNA from 1 species
AUUGAACGCUGGCGGCAUGCCUUACACAUGCAAGUCGAACGGCAGCACGGGUGCUUGCGCCUGGUGGCGAGUGGCGAACGGGUGAGUAAUAUAUCGGAACGUACCUUAUUGUGGGGGAUAACGCAGCGAAAGCUGUGCUAAUACCGCAUAAUCCCUAAGGGGGAAAGCGGGGGACCGUAAGGCCUCGCGCAAUUAGAGCGGCCGAUACCUGAUUAGCUAGUUGGUGAGGUAAAGGCUCACUAAGGCAACGAUCAGUAGCUGGUCUGAGAGGACGAUCAGCCACACUGGGACUGAGACACGGCCCCGACUCCUACGGGAGGCAGCAGUGGGGAAUUUUGGACAAUGGGGGCAACCCUGAUCCAGCAAUGCCGCGUGAGUGAAGAAGGCCUUCGGGUUGUAAAGCUCUUUUGUCAGGGAAGAAACAGCAGCUCUAACACAGUUUGCGAAUGACGGUACCUGAAGAAUAAGCACCGGCUAACUACGUGCCAGCAGCCGCCGUAA